GCCAUUAAUUCGAAAUAUGAAUCGCAUGCAAGACAAACCGAUUGUUGUUUCAUAAAUUAACUAUUUAUCUAUAUUACUUCAUCAUUUGAUAAUCCAUACGACUUUGAAUUCCGUAGCACACCAUCACCAUUUCUAAACGGUUGUUGGUUGUUAGCCAUCACCUAUUUCGCCUCACCAAUCUACCGUCAGUGCUCUUCCAAUCGCGCACCGCAGCGAACAACAUGUCACAACCGUCGCACGCUAGAGCGGCGCCACUGUCCAUCAUCUGAAACAUCAAUGGGAGGUGUUUGGCCCUCAUCCUCGCUCUCUACUUUUCGAUUGUACCAACUAAAAUUGUUUUGUCAUUUCAGGGUGAUUUAAUCAUUUGUUAUAUCUCGUGUACUCAUGUGGUAAUUCUCGUGAAUUGACUCUUCGCAACCUGUUUUCAAAGUUGAUGAUCAAGUGAUGUGGACACGUAGCAUGGGCCUUAGUAAAAUAAAUUGAAAUCUUGAUAUGUUUGUUUUAAACAAUGUAUGAACAAUUUUGAUUAUUAUAUGUUAUGUGACUAUUUAAAUGGA